rnacentral:rRNA from 1 species
CAGCAGCCGCGGUAAUACCGGCGGCCCGAGUGGCGGUCACUAUUAUUGGGCUUAAAGCGUCCGUAGCCGGGGUGGGAAGUCCUCCGGGAAAUCUGGCCGCUUAACGGUCAGAAUGCCGGAGGAUACUCCCAGCCUAGGGAGCGGGAGAGGCCGAGGGGAUUCCCGGAGUAGGGGUGAAAUCCUAUAAUCCCGGGAGGACCACCUGUGGCGAAGGCGCUCGGCUGGAACGGGUCCGACGGUGAGGGACGAAGGCCAGGGGAGCAAACCGGAUUAGAUACCCGGGUAGUCCUGGCUGUAAACGAUGCGGACUUUGUGUCGGACAAGCUAUGAGCUUGUCCGGUGCCGGAGGGAAACCGUUAAGUCCGCCGCCUGGGGAGUACGGCCGCAAGGCUGAAACUUAAAGGAAUUGGCGGG